rnacentral:rRNA from 1 species
CUAAUACAUGCAGUCGAGCGGCAAGUUGAGUAGUAAUACUUAGCCUAGAGCGGCGCACGGGUGCGUAACGCGUAUGCAACCUACCUUUUACUGGGGGAUAGCCCGGAGAAAUCUGGAUUAAUACCCCAUGGUAUCUAUGAAUCGAUUGGUUUAUAGUUUAAAGAUUUAUCGGUAAGAGAUGGGCAUGCGUCUGAUUAGCUAGUUGGCGGGGUAACGGCCCACCAAGGCGACGAUCAGUAGGGGUUCUGAGAGGAAGGUCCCCCACACUGGCACUGAGAUACGGGCCAGACUCCUACGGGAGGCAGCAGUAGGGAAUAUUGGGCAAUGGUCGCAAGACUGACCCAGCCAUGCCGCGUGCAGGAAGACGGCCCUCUGGGUUGUAAACUGCCUUUAUCUGGGAAGAAAAAGUCCAUGCGUGGAAAAUUGCCGGUACCAGAUGAAUAAGCACCGGCUAACUCCGUGCCAGCAGCCGCGGUAAUACGGAGGGUGCAAGCGUUGUCCGGAUUUAUUGGGUUUAAAGGGUGCGUAGGCGGCUGAAUAAGUCAGCGGUGAAAGACUUCGGCUUAACCGGAGCAGUGCCGUUGAUACUGUUUAGCUUGAGUGUUGGAGGGGUACAUGGAAUUGAUGGUGUAGCGGUGAAAUGCAUAGAUACCAUCAGGAACACCGAUAGCGAAGGCAUUGUACUGGCCAACAACUGACGCUGAGGCACGAAAGUGUGGGGAUCGAACAGGAUUAGAUACCCUGGUAGUCCACACCGUAAACGAUGGUUACUCGCUGUUAUGGUGUAUGCUGUAGCGGCCAAGCGAAAGCGUUAAGUAAUCCACCUGGGGAGUACGCCGGCAACGGUGAAAC